GAAGGGGUAGCCCUGGGAAGCUUAUCUAGUUCGAAGCCAUCACCACUGCUAGAACAGCACCACAAAGCCCAGGCUGCCCUGUUGGUAGUUUGAACACCUGAUUCUUUCAAAGCAUGUAGGAACCUUCAAGAUAGUUUUUACUCAAUCUCCUUCCUUUUACAGAAAGACAAGAGUUGAAAUUGCUGGAGUAUCUUUGGAUCACCCCUAUGUUUGAACCUACAAACAUUAGUGCCAAGCUUGAGCAUGUUAAGGGACCAGAGGGAUACGACAGUGCAGAAGGAAAAAAUCCCAUGGUGAAGCCUGCAGGUCUGUGUUUGGUGUGACCAGGAUAUGUGAGUGGAACCUCACUGAAGGUCAAGUGCCUGUCAUGGUAUGACUGGAUUCCCUGCUCAGCAUCUCACCAGGCUACAAUUAAGGUUUGACAACAGGAGUGUGAACAAAGACAAAAGAGACAUGAAGCUUAAAGAGAUGUUGCUGCUGCCCCACAAUGUACGUCCCAUGUUGAAAUCACAGGUAACUAUUACCUUACCAUUGCUAAACAUCAAUACUAAUUUUUUAAAAAAAUUGCUAGUGGGAUCAAUAUCAGUUAAUUCUACUGUGCCAAGAAUGAGUAGAACUGAUCCAAACCCAUAUUUCAUAAGGUCUGACUACCAAGGCAAAUGGUUUAGACACUGUUCUGCAUUAAGGAUCUUCCAUCAUCAAUGAUAAAAUAUUAAGUCUCUGUAAGUCUUUUAAAUUCCAUAGAAAACUUUAAAAUAGUUCAAAUCUAUUAAUUUUAGUG